GACGAACGCUGGCGGCGUGCUUAACACAUGCCAGUCGAACGGAAAGGCCCUGCUUUUGUGGGGUGCUCGAGUGGCGAACGGGUGAGUAACACGUGAGUAACCUGCCCUUGACUUUGGGAUAACUUCAGGAAACUGGGGCUAAUACCGGAUAGGAGCUCCUGCUGCAUGGUGGGGGUUGGAAAGUUUCGGCGGUUGGGGAUGGACUCGCGGCUUAUCAGCUUGUUGGUGGGGUAGUGGCUUACCAAGGCUUUGACGGGUAGCCGGCCUGAGAGGGUGACCGGCCACAUUGGGACUGAGAUACGGCCCAGACUCCUACGGGAGGCAGCAGUGGGGAAUAUUGCACAAUGGGCGGAAGCCUGAUGCAGCAACGCCGCGUGCGGGAUGACGGCCUUCGGGUUGUAAACCGCUUUCGCCUGUGACGAAGCGUGAGUGACGGUAAUGGGUAAAGAUGCACCGGCUAACUACGUG
rnacentral:rRNA from 1 species